UACGUAGGGGGCAAGCGUUGUCCGGAUUUACUGGGCGUAAAGCGCGUGUAGGCGGCCCUGUAAGUCGGGUGUGAAAUCCCACGGCUCAACCGUGGAAGUGCACUCGAAACUACAGGGCUAGAGUCCUGGAGAGGAAGGUGGAAUGCUUGGUGUAGAGGUGAAAUUCGUAGAUAUCAAGCGGAACACCGGUGGCGAAGGCGGCCUUCUGGACAGUGACUGACGCUGAGACGCGAAAGCGUGGGGAGCAAACAGG
rnacentral:rRNA from 1 species